rnacentral:lncRNA from 1 species
UGAAGUUGAGCUUAUGAAGUAAGAUUAAUUUCACUAGAAAAAGAUAGCAAAUCAGUUUUUCAUUUAUGUCUUAUUUUAGUUUAUGCAACAACCGCUAAAUCUUAUAAACUAGAUAAUAAUAACUUUGACUGACAUUUAGGUGAGGUUCUUGCUGAGAUCUGGAAGGAAAUAUGAGCAAGCUUUCAAAGCUAGUUGCAUUUGUGGAAGUCGCUCAGUUUGAUUUAUUGGCAUAACACCAAAAGCCAGAUUCUCCUUAAGUCUCUCUCUCAAAACUGACUAGCCUAGAAUUAAGGCCACAUACUAUUGAGAGUUGUUAUCUGUCAAAAUAUGAGGUUUGGGAAUAUCUAGUGAAAUGUUGCCUAAAGAGUCACUAAAUGAUCAAGCAUGGAAUACCAAGCAAUG